UAGAAUGAAAACAGAGAAGGGAGAAGAAGAAAAGAAAAGAGAAGAAGGGAAGGAAGAAAGAAAAGGAAAGAGAAGGAAGGAGAAAGAGAGUGCAGCAGCCCUCUUGCUGCUGUUUACUCAUGCUGUUCCUACUAUUGUAUGGCUGCUGCUAUUACUGUUCAUGCACCUCCUUAAGCUGCCAAUAGUUGGAAGAAGUUUCCAAGGUGCUGCCACAACUGGAAUAGAUGCCUAGAGCUGGACAGGUGCAUGUAAACUUGCCUACACCUCCUAGGAACUUCAGGAAGGAACCUGCAAUAUACCCGGUGAAGAUACUCAUGAUCAGGAAUUUAGCGAAAGAACAUUGGAUUCGGGAAAUCAGAUAUUGGAACUACAGCUUUGGGCACGACAGAGACAGUUCGGAUAUCCAGGUGUAGUUAUUGGACACAUGCUGGUCAGAUGAUUAAGAUGACUUGUGAAAUGGGUUUGGUUAUCAUACUGCAUCUGUGAUCCUGGGUAUUGUCAGGCUGACUGUGUUGAAAAUCCAAUGCCGCAUACCUUAGCCAUAUUUGGGGCAAGGUGUGACACAUUUCAGAUGGAAGGUAUAAUCAUGUUCAACAGAGGUCAUCAAAUGCACAAGGAGGAAUGCUCUGAUCCAAAUAGAAGGAUGUAAAAGAGCUAGGGAUAUGCCAAAAAGUGACCAAAGGAGAAUUGGUGAGGAAAGACAUGCACAAAUUAGGUCUUGCUCCAAGUAUGCCAUCGAUUAGAGCAUAUUGAUGGGUCAAGAUCUGGGUAACAGACCCCACUUGUUGAGUUCUACUUCGUUAGAAUUUUUAUGAUCUAUUUACUUUCACUUUUACUUAUCCUUUUUCUUGCCCCUUGCUUUGAUUCACGUAGUUGAUCCCAUUAAGUUGGGAUAAGGCUUUGAUGUUGUUACUAUUGUAUAACAAACAUUUGUAUAA